GGCCCAGUGGUGUAGUGGUGAACACACCUAUAUAUUGUUGACAUCUUGUAAUCUGGUUUGUGGGACAUUCCUGUUCGACUCAGGGCUGGGCUA